GACGAACGCUGGCGGCGUGCUUAACACAUGCAAGUCGAACGGAAAGGCCUCUUUCGGGGGGUACUCGAGUGGCGAACGGGUGAGUAACACGUGAGUAACCUGCCCUUGACUUUGGGAUAACUUCAGUAAACUGGGGCUAAUACCGGAUAGGAGCUCCUGCUGCAUGGUGGGGGUUGGAAAGUUUCGGCGGUUGGGGAUGGACUCGCGGCUUAUCAGCUUGUUGGUGGGGUAGUGGCUUACCAAGGCUUUGACGGGUAGCCGGCCUGAGAGGGUGACCGGCCACACUGGGACUGAGAUACGGCCCAGACUCCGACGGGAGGCAGCAGUGGGGAAUAUUGAACAAUGGGUGGAAGCCUGAUGCAGCAACGCCGUGUGCGGGAUGACGGCCUUCGGGUUGUAAACCGCUUUCGCUCAUGACGAAGCUUUGUGUGACGGUAGUGGGUAAAGAAGCACCGGCUAACUACGUG
rnacentral:rRNA from 1 species